AUGCCCAUCCAGCACACACUGGACAUUACUCCCUUGCCCUUUACAGCUCCAGAGUUCCAGGCUAUGCCAAAAGCCCGUUGCGUGUCAUGCCAGGAGUAUGUUCCCCUGCAGCUCCUAAGCCUCCACGUUAAAACAUGUGCCAAGACUAAAGGCAAUGACGGGAACAAAUCUGAUAAUGACAUCAUUGACUUGGAUCAUAUGGUCUUCGACGCUGAGAAUGUGGUGUCCACUGAUGUGCAGUCGUCAUCAUGGUUGGCGCAUAAGGUGUCUGCUGAUGUGCAACUAGUAUAUUUGAGCAAGCAACUGUCACCAGGUAAAGUCUGGAUAUCUGAAGAGUCUGUUGAUGCUGGUCAGUGGGGCCGAACCGACCCUCUCCGUCCCCUGCUUGCAUCCUCCCAUCCUGCCGACAGCGCAUGUUCUCAUCUCCGCCGCUGGCAUUAUGUGCCCACCUGCGACUGUCCCGCCGAAAAAGGGUCUCUCAUCCGGCAUUACGUGCCCGCCAGAGAGUCUACAAAAGGCGCAUCUCUCUCCUCCCUCCAUGUUGUCUGUGCCGCUGCGUGGUUUUACACAGACACAAAUGAACAGCAAACCGAUACCUUUGAUGACACCGAUGAACAACAUGAUUACAACAGUUGGUGGUUGCCUAGCAACGGUAAAGCGUCAGCUCUUUCCCUUCUAUGUUUGUCCGCUGUGUGUAUGGGGCAGGAGCUGUGCUUGGUGUCUCCGUCAGUAACCAUCAGCUGUUUCUCUGUUGUCAGAAUAAAUUCCGUGAACCUGACUAUAGCCUGUGUGUUGUCUCUACUGAUCCGAACCGAACAAGAGGGUUACAGUUACAUGGGCCCAAUUAAUGUUGACCAGAAAAAGGCCAUCACAGAUGCUGUUACUUUGCAUGGACUGUUGAGGCUCAUCCCAAUCCUGAACCAGCUACGUGAGGAGUUGAGGCUGUAUGGAGUAGAUGAGGUUUUGGGCCACCAUGACCAGAUGUGCAAGCAACUAUUUGUUCCUGGCUUCAUACAGGAGAGGCGCUAGGAGAGGCUGGGUGGGGUUAUCGACGACCGGAGCCGCCGUCACAGACGCACCUGCAGCAGGUUGGCAAUCAGCGGCUGCUGACUAAAGCCUAGGUCUUCACGCUGCCUGCUGCCAGAUGAUUACUUCGACUAGAUGUGGUACACGGCUCACACAGACUGUAGCUACUACGGCUUCUACUGUGUUCCCCGGUCUCUUGCUGAGAUUAAUUACUGUUGUGUCCUUUCCCUAGUGACCCACGACCCGGCUACCUGCACCACCUGCUCCAGCCUCCCAGCUCCUCGCACCUGACCCGGCUCUCCCUCGCCCUGCGCCGUCUGGCGCACCCGGCGCAACCCCGGCAUCCCUGGGAAAAACCCCUGCACAGACCAUCCGCACUCCACCAGACAGGGACUCCGUCGGGAGCGCUCAGCGUUCGUUUAUUCAGUGUUCAAUAAAUCACCAAGUUUCUACCUCUGAUCUGCCUCCGUGUCCGCUCUUGGGUCCCUGUCCACCCGGCUCAACACUGAUUCUUCAAUCACCAAAAUUCUGCGGUGGUUAUUUCUGGACAGAUGACCGAUGCAAAUAUUAAUCACUGCUGCUCCAUUGCUAGGGAAGCUAUAGCAUAGCAACCACAGCCAAAGACUGGGGAACAAUCAGUUCACAUUAACAUCAUUAAAGUCUGUGUAAAGCAGCAAUACAUUUGUGUUAUGAGUUUGUCACACCACAGAAACGUGUCAUUGACCACUGAGCCAAAUGUGAAAGAUUUAAAAAAUUGCUAAGUAUAUAAAAUUAGGUCUCAAAAUCAUGAAAAACAAGCACUUCUUUCUGCUGUGAGACAGUGGGGGCAUGUCAGAGGCGCUGGAACCACACCCACGCGCGGGAGGGGAGCCUCCUCCAUGUACU
rnacentral:lncRNA from 1 species